UGCCGGUAAAAAUGUUUUUGUAGUUUCUACUAUGUGUUCUUAUAUUUUGUAUUUAGGCUAUUGGGGAUAAUUGCUCAUCCGUCUACUGUUUAUACGCAACAGCCGCAGAUAUUUUUUAUUUAUUUAAUUUUUAAUUAUUACCCUGACCCGAUAAUUAACCUUGUUAACUGACAUUAUCUUCAACCCCUGAAUAAUAAUUCAUUUGCCGUUGACUUAGAACAUACUAAAUUUAUUUAUUUCUUUUUUUAUUU